GGACCAUUAGCUCAGUUGGUCAGAGCGUCGCACUGUUAUUGCGAAAGUCGCGGGUUCAAUCCCCUCAUGGUCCA